GAUGAACGCUGGCGGCGUGCCUAAUACAUGCAAGUCGAGCGAACAGACGAGGAGCUUGCUCCUUUGACGUUAGCGGCGGACGGGUGAGUAACACGUGGGUAACCUACCUAUAAGACUGGGAUAACUUCGGGAAACCGGAGCUAAUACCGGAUAAUAUUUCGAACCGCAUGGUUCGAUAGUGAAAGAUGGCUCUGCUAUCACUUAUAGAUGGACCUGCGCCGUAUUAGCUAGUUGGUAAGGUAACGGCUUACCAAGGCAACGAUACGUAGCCGACCUGAGAGGGUGAUCGGCCACACUGGAACUGAGACACGGUCCAGACUCCUACGGGAGGCAGCAGUAGGGAAUCUUCCGCAAUGGGCGAAAGCCUGACGGAGCAACGCCGCGUGAGUGAUGAAGGUCUUCGGAUCGUAAAACUCUGUUAUUAGGGAAGAACAAACGUGUAAGUAACAGUGCACGUCUUGACGGUACCUAAUCAGAAAGCCACGGCUAACUACGUG
rnacentral:rRNA from 1 species